rnacentral:rRNA from 1 species
ACCGGCAGCUCAAGUGGUGGCCAUUUUUAUUGGGCCUAAAGCGUUCGUAGCCGGCUUGAUAAGUCUCUGGUGAAAUCCCACAGCUCAACUGUGGGAAUUCCUGGAGAUACUAUCAGGCUUGAGGCCGGGAGAGGCUGGAGGUACUCCCAGUGUAGGGGUGAAAUGCGAUGAUCUUGGGAGGACCACCUGUGGCGAAGGCGGCCAGCUGGAACGGACCUGACGGUGAGGUGCGAAAGCGAGGGGAGCGAACCG